UACGUAGGGUGCAAGCGUUAAUCGGAAUACUGGGCGUAAAGCGUGCGCAGGCGGUGAUGUAAGACAGUUGUGAAAUCCCCGGGCUCAACCUGGGAACUGCAUCUGUGACUGCAUCGCUGGAGUGCGGCAGAGGGGGAUGGAAUUCCGCGUGUAGCAGUGAAAUGCGUAGAUAUGCGGAGGAACACCGAUGGCGAAGGCAAUCCCCUGGGCCUGCACUGACGCUCAUGCACGA
rnacentral:rRNA from 1 species